rnacentral:rRNA from 2 species
GCAUAUCAAUAAGCGGAGGAAAAGAAACUAACAAGGAUUCCCCUAGUAACUGCGAGUGAAGCGGGAAAAGCUCAAAUUUAAAAUCUGGUAGCCUUUGGUUGCCCGAGUUGUAGUCUGGAGAAGCGUUUUCCGCGCUGGACCGUGUACAAGUCUCUUGGAACAGAGCGUCAUAGAGGGUGAGAAUCCCGUCUUUGACACGGACUACCAGUGCUUUGUGAUGCGCUCUCAAAGAGUCGAGUUGUUUGGGAAUGCAGCUCAAAAUGGGUGGUAAAUUCCAUCUAAAGCUAAAUAUUGGCGAGAGACCGAUAGCGAACAAGUACCGUGAGGGAAAGAUGAAAAGCACUUUGGAAAGAGAGUUAAACAGUACGUGAAAUUGCUGAAAGGGAAACGCUUGAAGUCAGUCGCGUCUUCUAGUACUCAGCCUUCCUUUUGGUUGGUGCAUUUACUAGUCGACGGGCCAGCAUCAGUUUUGGCUGCGGGAUAAAGGUCAGGGGAAUGUGGCACCUUCGGGUGUGUUAUAGCCUCUGGUCAUAUACCGUGGCUGGGACUGAGGAUCUCAGCAUGCCUUUAUGGCGGGGGUUCGCCCACCUUUCAUGCUUAGGAUGCUGGCGUAAUGGCUUUAAACGACCCGUCUUGAAACACGGACCAAGGAGUCUAACAUGCCUGCGAGUGUUUGGGUGGAAAACCCGAGCGCGUAAUGAAAGUGAUAGUUGGGAUCUCUGUCGUGGAGAGCACCGACGCCCGGACCAGACCUUCUGUGACGGCUCCGCGGUAGAGCAUGUAUGUUGGGACCCGAAAGAUGGUGAACUAUGCCUGAAUAGGGUGAAGCCAGAGGAAACUCUGGUGGAGGCUCGUAGCGAUUCUGACGUGCAAAUCGAUCGUCAAAUUUGGGUAUAGGGGCGAAAGACUAAUCGAACCAUCUAGUAGCU